ACGAUAGCGCAUUUUCAUGAACUGCUAUAAUAGAUGAGCUCGUGAUUUUGGUUACUUUUUAAUAGCACCUGAUAAAUGCUAAGACCGAAAAUCUUUAAGCGGGAAACAAAAAUGACCUAUUCUGCCAACACUUAGUAAAAUUACUCACUUAAGCCGCCAGUGAGCUCAAAUCGAUUAAUCCUUUAUUCACUCUCACAUAUGGAUUCUCCUCAUCGUCUUCUCCGUCGUGCAUCUCUCCUCCUUCGUUGACACUUGCAACUCCAGCUCUUCAUUUCACCUUCACAUCUUCUUCUUCUUUAGAUCUCUCAUCUCAUUUUCCUUCCUCUCAUUCUUCUACUUCGUCUUUUCCUUUUCUCGCUUCCUUUGUUUCUUUCUAUCUCUCUCUCUCUCUCUCUAGCUUCUUCCGUCACUUUUACUUAUCAUUACCCUAAUUUUGCAAGGCGUAUCAAUUGAAAUUGAAAAGUUUUGGAAUUGGUUGGAAACGCAGCGAGGGAUAACAAGAAGACUAGGUUGGUGCCACGUCACAUUAAUCUUGCGGUGUGGAACGAUGAUGAGCCGAGCAAGUUGCAAAGGUAUUGUAAUAAAUCUUAGGGGUUCUGUUUUAGAGUUCUUUGUGCACACAAGGUUUUCGACGAUUUGACUGUGAGACGGAAACCAAGAAUAUUAAAGUAACUAACUUGGAUUUGGUUCAAUUUUCGCUAAGGAAGAAUGUUGGUGGCUGAGAGAUGGAGAUUCAACAGAGGAAAAGCCAGGCUAUUCAUGGUAAAAAAACUUCUACAAGAUGGAACUUGGAGUAAAAGUAUGUAUACUCUUGAACUCUAAUGACAAAGAAGUCGGAAACAUAAGCUUUAAGUUGAUGAUGAUACACAUGAUUACAGGGAAUAUAGAUAAAGUUUUAUCAUUAUGCUUAAAUAUGUAAGUACUUGAUUUGGGUUUUAUGAUUAUCACCAAAGUUUUAUCAUUAUGCUAAAUUUUGAAAUUUUUUAAUUAUCUAUAAAUUGACUUUCAUCGGUGAUAAACAAGAGUGCUAAUUGUUUUAGUGUUCAAUGUGAUAUUUUGCAAAUGAUCAAAAGGUGACCAGAGACCAGUAAAUUAGAUGACCUUGACUUAACACGAGACGAGCUACAUAAGAAAGAGAUUCUCAAGAAACUCAUGUAUGAGUUGGAGACCUUAAUCAUCUCAUUUAUGCAACCCUGAUAGAUGCAGUUCUUGGAGACCUUAAUCAACUUGAGCAUGGGGAGAGGAACAUGAGAAAGCUAGUUAGGCUUCAAGAAGUUCGUCUCUUUCCUUCACCUCUAAAAGUUGCUUGCUUUUACUAUUUUAAGCUAGCUGGCCUCAGGAAGUU